rnacentral:piRNA from 1 species
UGGAAAUGAUGAGCCAGAAGAUUCAGC